AGUGGAGGACAGAAAACUGAAUAGGAUUCCUUUAGUAAUGGCGAAUGAACCAGGAAGAGCUCACAUUGACAAUCCGUACUUUGUGUCUGGAAUUGUAUUUCAAAGUUGUGUUGCUAAUGAAAGUGUGUGUGCAAGCCAUUUGGGAAAAUGUGGCAACGAAGGUGAAACUCUUGUGUGUCAUGUGCAAGCUUUCAUGCAAGGUAUGCUCCCAAGAAUCGUGUUCCUUGGAAUUGGAGUGCAAAGCAGGUGGUAAAUUUCAUGUGAAGCUAAAUAUAUGUUUGAGACUGAUAGUGUACAAGUACCAUGAGGGAAAUGUGAAAAGGACUUUGAAAAGAAAGUUACAAGUACCUGAAAUUGCUGGAAUGAAAGCAAAUGACAUGAUGCUGUUUAGCAAGAUUGCAGUUUGCAGACAUCAAGCAGGGUGCAUGUCAUGUGCAUUUCUGGGCUUGUGUGGGUAUACAGUGUAUCUUGCUUUGCAUGCCAUGACGAAGCUGCAUGUCAACACCAAACAUGCAUAAGUGAAUUGCAUAUUGUAUGUUGUGAAUAUGUCCUUACAUGGUAUGCAGCUUGGUUGUUGUCGCUGGGUGCUGUGCCCCUUGUCUCCUGUGGCAAGGGUGCCAACCUGGCCCAUUGCAUGAAUGUGAUGCUUCAUUUGACCCGUCUUGAAACACGGACCAAGGAGUCUAAUACAUGUGCAAAUCUGUGGGUCAUCUUUUGGGGUGCAAUGAAAAUGACAAUUGGGAUGUGUGCACUGAUAGCCAACCAAUCAACUGUGAGAGGUUUGUGUUUGAGCAUGUGUAUUAGGACCCGAAAGAUGGUGAACUAUGCUUGAGUAGAAUGAAUUCAGGGGAAACUCUGAAGGAGGCUUGCAGCGGUACUGACGUGCAAAUCGUUCGUCAUACUUGAGUAUAGGGGCGAAAGACUAAUCGAACC
rnacentral:rRNA from 1 species